CCCGGAUAAUAUUUUUCUCUCGGAUGUUUCGGGGACCUUUCACUUGGGUGGAUGUAAAUAUGUUGCUGGGAUAUCGGCCUUCUAUGGACCGAGCGUCUACUACAGGAACAAGAUGGUGUCCAUAUAUAAGGUUCUGCCUCCUCAGAUUAUUGAACGUGUGGAGCUCUCGCAGUGGUUUCUGAAGUGUGACGCCUUCAAGGAUGAGUGUGCAGUGCGCUUUCAGCACUUCUCUGCUGCAGAGCAAAAAACAAGAGACUGCAGAGACCCCUAUAGUGAUGUCAUCGCUCGCUAC